rfam:Gavia stellata contig27875, whole genome shotgun sequence.
CAGGGCUGGGGAAGGGCUGCUGGGUGGUUCCAGCCAGCCUCACCCGCGCCCGAGAUCAGCUCCCAGGCGGGCUCCCUGCAGGGGUUCGGCCUGUGCAGUACCAGGUGUGAGCAUCCAUGCAGCGUUUUGAUGGUCAUGUAUGAUACUGCAUACAACA